UUUUUUUUAUUAUUCUUUGUUACAAAGGCUUAAUACCCUGAGUUACAGUGUGCCAGACUGCAAAGUCAACACAACAAUUUUGUGGACGGUUAAAAUUUCUCCACAAUCUGCUUUUGAAGAAAUAUCGCAGUAUCGCGCUACAGCGCACAUUCUAUCAGUUGCAGCCUCCGUCACAUUUGAUGAACUUUACACAGUUAUUGAACUGAACUGAAAUGACUUGAGAUGAAUAAUAACAUUAUUGUCCUGUACAGCAGAAUUUAAGUUUGCCUCAUAUUUGAAGUUUGUAUAUUUGAUUGUUAUUUUCCUACUGAAACUACUUUGAAAUGAUCUCUACUGUAUAAAGCGCUAGAAAAAGGUAACUUGACGAUAUAAUUCAAACUUAAAGACAUUUUGCACCGAUAUUAGAUGAAUAGUUCACCCAAAAAUGAAAACUAACUGUUAAUUUACACACCCUGGGGCCAGUGUAGGUGACUUACUUUCUUCAGCAGAACUUUAAAGAUGAUUUUUUGCUGAAUCCAUACUUGGCGACUCCUGAAGAUAUACUGAGAUCCUAUGAAGUGAAACAAUCAGCCUGUGCAAGAAAAUAUUUACAGCAUUAUUACCUAUAAUCCAUAGCCUCAAGCAAACAGUCCUGGAGUACAAGCUUUCUGUUGCAUGCUGAUGUACAGUAUGUGCAGCAAAUCACACAUGAACUCUGACACCAUUCUAAAGACCUCAUCAAGAGCCACAGGCAUUCAUUUUAUUUUUCCUGUUACUGCUAUUUUAACUCUCAAAGUGACGGAACCCAUUGACUUGCAUUUUAUGAUUCACCAAGGACCAUGGAUUCAGCUAAAAAUAUUUUUUAAUGUUUUGCUGUAGAAAGAAAGUAAUUUACAUCUUGGAUGUCCCGAGGGGGCAAACUGAACCAUUCCAGCCAAACCUUGACCCCACAGAUUCUCUCACCAGUGAGUGCAGAACGAGCAAGGAGAUUGAAAACCUUGAGUCGAUCUUGACAGUUAAAUCCAUCAUAUGGAUUCAUCUUCUCCAUUGGCCACGAGGAGAACCAAUUUGGCAAUAGAUCAGCAUUUUUGUGAAAAGCAGACUGCCUCAGUAUACGAGGAACCAAAGAGCAAAACACAAAAAAUGUCUUUCACAUACUUGAAGUCAACAUGAAACUGCAUUUUUUUGCACAAUUUAAGUUCUAACAUGUAUUACCAUGAUGUAUUGUGAUGUAUUUCCAAAUAAAACUGAACAUUCACAAGAAAAUAAUGUAGAACUUAUCCAUUGGAAUUUAAUUGGAUGGUGAAACUCGGGCUGACGCAGAUUUUGCAGUCUAUUGAGGGGGAUUACUCAACACCUGAAACACCACCAUCAUUUUUUGGAGAUUUAAGUGGCAUCAACCAAAGAAAAGUUGUUUCAGAGGUGGAUUAACAUGCACCAAUGAAUUGUGCACAAUAAGACCAGGAAUGUUUACUAAGUAGAUUAAUUUAGACUUUUUGACAAUAAGAAUCAGCAUCUGCAAAGUAUUUAACUUAAUUUUUUUAUGCAUUUCUGAGUUAAACAAUAUUUGGUGAGAAAAAUAAUUAUAUGAUAGGACUAUUCAUCCUAUUAGGAUCUGAUUGGAUCAUGCAAAAAUGUAAUUUUAUUGGCUAAUAUUAAUUUUCUUCACCUGUUCUGCCUUGAAACAAAAGUGUUUUCAAUAAAGGAAUAUUUAAAAAAAUUUGAUUUACACUACCGUUUAAAAGUUUGGGGGUCGGUUAAGUGUUUUCUAAUCUUUUACUUUUAAUCAGAAAGGAUGCACU
ensembl:lncRNA